GAUGAAGAACGCAGCGAAAUGCGAUAAGUAAUGUGAAUUGCAGAAUUCAGUGAAUCAUCGAGUCUUUGAACGCACAUUGCGCCCCCUGGUAUUCCGGGGGGCAUGCCUGUCCGAGCGUCAUUGCUGCCCUCAAGCACGGCUUGUGUGUUGGGCCCCCGUCCCCGGUUUCCCCCGGGGACGGGCCCGAAAGGCAGCGGCGGCACCGCGUCCGGUCCUCGAGCGCAUGGGGCUUUGUCACCCGCUCUGUAGGCCCGGCCGGCGCCAGCCGACACCCAACUUUAUUUCUAAGGUUGACCUCGGAUCAGGUAGGGAUACCCGCUGAACUUAAGCAUAUCAAAAGCGGAGGA
rnacentral:misc_RNA from 1 species